UCCUAGUCAUCUCCAUGCAUUUGACACUCAGAGCCACCAAACACUUCCCAGGAGAUGGACACCUAGCACAUGGGACAGUGUGGACAAGGAAGAUUCUGCAUUAGUUCCUUCUCAUAGAUGAUAGAGACAUCCCUCCCCUUCUGCUCCUCCUUGUCAGGGACACAAGGGAGCAAGUGCCACCACCCUGGGUUUUAAAGUAGAUUCGUAGGUCAGAACAGCACUCAGGCACUCUCACCAUGUUCCCGGGGUUCCAUGUGCACUACUGUUCUUUUGGGAUUGGCGCCAAGGUGUCUUGAGGUUAAGGUCCUUUUCCCUGCACAGGGACACUGGUUUCAGUCCUCCCCACCCACAGUGGGACAGAGUGAGCCUGUGUUGCAUUGGCCAACAUGGCUGUGCUGCUUUUCUCCCCAGCCCAGGACCUCUGACACACCCACUCCUCUGUGUGGAACUUGGGCCACCAUCAGCUGAGGACCCUGCCAUGUGUCUCUUAGUUUAAUUGAACCUCUGUGGCUGUCCUGAUUCGAGUGGGCAGCAUCCUCUGAACCUGUGAAAUGUGCCUGUUUGCAGUUUCCCCAGGCUGAGGUCUUCCUGUGUUUUUUCUGAAUGAGCAGAAGGAAAGGAAAUGAAGGAGAAUGGGUGGGAACUCACAGGGCAGGAACAGGAAAAGUGCAGAAUCUCAGAAAGUUCCAGAGUACAGGACCCCUUGGAAGAAAGUGGUGGGCAGAUCACUCCUCUGUCUUCUCCUUGCCCUAGAGACGUCCUCAGAGUGUUUCCUGGGGGAUCUCAUGAUGAUCCUGAGCCACCUCAGGUGCAGUGUAGAUCUGGUUAUCACAACUGACUUCUAUACUUUAUGCCUCAUUUACUUAUAAAGAUAUUUUCUAGGUAAGUGGAUUUCCCUUUUCCAUGACUCUAUUUUAGUGCUCUCUUUACUAUUGUAAAGGCUCCUUUUGGUGCAUUGUAGUUCUGCAAAACAGACGGUUCCCUGGGCACAAUCUGCAGGCAUGGGAUAUACUGUGCUCCAUCUUAGUCCCUGGUGCCCCCUCUUUCUUUUUCUUCCAUCCCCACCCCCUCCCUCUUCUCUCCUGUCCUCCUUCUGUCUAUUCAUCUGCUCCUUUGUCAUUGGUGGGCUCUUGACCUUUGUGGAGCUGGGCUCACUGCUGUGCUGUGGUGUCUGUGCCCAAGCACAUGGUGUCAUGUGGUGCUUUCCUUCCACAUUUCCUCCCUGUCCCAGACCCCUUCCCCCAAUCUCUGUCUCCUUUGCAACUGGUUGUCCUAAUCUCUUCAUGUCACCUUACCCCCCUUUCCCUUUCAUUUGCUCUAGCUUUUGCACCAGAGGGUGACAUGGGACCCUCACCUUCGAGAGUCGGGCUCUUUCACUUGUCAUGAUGUUCUCCACUUCCAUCCAUUUACCUGAAAUGCCACCAUUUUCUUCUUCUUUAAGGCCUUGAGUUCAGCCUGGAUUGUGUGGGUGUGGACAGAUCAGGAGGAAACCUCUGGCAGAAGAAGGCAGAUCCUGACCGCACUGUAGAGAGAGCAGAGAGCUGAGGGUCCCCUCAGUAAUGAGCCAUGUGGUACAAUUGCUCUUGUGUAUUGUUUUCUGAUCCUUCUGAUGAGAUAUGGCAGUUUGAUAUCUCUCCUAGUUUACUGUGGCUAGCAUAAAAUUCCCACCUAUUGAGCAGUGUGUUCUUUCCCUCACAUGUCCCUUAGGAGUCCAGGCUGGGUCCUCAGCCCAGCCUGAGAAGAUUGAAAUUGGGCAGUCAGUGGGCAGCUCUCCUUGCUGAAGCUCAUGGUCUUCUUCCAGGUCCAGUGGCUGAGGCAGAGUCAUCUUUCCACAGUUGUAGGCUGAGGUCCCAAUUUCCCUGUGGUCAUCAUAACAGAGUUACUUGAAGCUGAUCUAAAUGCUUGCACUGUGGCUAGCGCUACCUCCAAGACCAGCCUUAGACCAUGUCCCCACAUCCAAUCUUCAAUGGCAUGAGAUUUCCUUCCUCUGACUCUACGUAGAUGUGAAGGGCUUUCCUCUCUUACACCAUCUGUGUCAUUACAUCUAUAAAAUCGUUCAAAAGAAUUUUUCCAGAAAUCCUUUUUGAAUUCCUGGGGUGGAUUUUGAUACAGGGACUAGGUUCUUUGGGAGAACCACUUAGAAUCCUGACUAUCUACUGCCUUUGGUUAUCACCAUAAUGACUGGAUCCCUGUUGGAUGUUUGGAGCUUGAUAUCUUUGGAGGAUUCCAUUCUUCUAUGGUCAGUUGAUUCUAGAUAUGGAGAGGAUAAAGGGCUAACCCGCAGUUAGCAUGGAGGUGACAAUGGCUUCCCCAGUCUUCCUGUGUGUCAGCUGCACCAGGCACUAAGUCCUCAGGAAUACAGGGCCUACUUCUCUUCUGGACCCACAGGCACUCCCUGCCCUUAUCAGCGGCCUCAGGCUCCCUGGUAGAGCUCCAUGGCCUCCCAGCCUCAAGCCCUGUCUGUCUCCACACACUGACUCUGUGACUUCCUUCCACAGGACCAGCCUGUCCCUCUCCCAGCCCUGAGCAAGGCUUCUGUGCAGCCUGGGAAUGUGGGGACAAACCACGCAGUGGCUUCCCAGGCUUCAAUCUUGGUGAAUUAUCCUAUGAAUUUCCACCUGAGACCUGCAGACUCACAUCCCUUUGGUGAUAUUUCAGUCCCCUGUGGAUUCAUCCUAAUCCCAUAUGCUUAUGUCUUCAUGUAACCUAGACACCUAACCUUCCUAUAGGCAGCCCAGUGGCUCUUCUGUUCCCCAGGUUUCUUCCCAGCUGGAGGAGGUGUGGCAUGUUUAAUGCAACACCCACCAGAGACACUUAGAAUCUUGACACUGCAACUUAAGAAUUGUGUGUGACAUUGGGUUAGUUACUUCAUUUUGCUCAAGCCUCAGUUCCUCAUCUGCAACAUGGGAGUAAUAACAUCUCUCUUAUAAAGUUGUCUGAGGAGUAACCUAGGUACAUUCUAUGAUGUUAGUUAUGACUCAUUGUUUUGGCUAGAUCUAGUUUCAUGGGAAGCAAAUGUGCAGACAGGUGGUUCAUGGUCAAUAGGUUCUUCAUAUUUUUAUCUUUCACAAAAUAAUCAGAAAUAUCUUGAAAUAAAACCAAGACCUGAGCUUGGUGGUGCUGGCAUGUGAUCCCAUGGACUCAGGUGCUGAGACAGCAGGACUGGAAGUUAGCGGCCAGCAUGGGAAACUUAGAACUUAUCACAAUAAAAAUAAAUAAAUACAUUUGUAAGUAAAUAAAAGAGAGGGAGGAAAUCUGAGUAGUAGAGUACCCCAGUGUUCAUUCUUCAGUAUUAAACCAAAAAUCACAACCACAACAAUGACCACAAAACUAAACAACCACACAACAGCCCCAGAAAUAAGAAGCCACCACCUCCCCAGGUAAACACUUUGAAGGUCUCUCAGGAACUUAAAAGCUCACUGUCCUCAUCCUGGGUUCUCAUGCAGUUUCCCAUCCUUGGCCUGUGGCUUUGGAACCUCAUGGCAGUAUCUGAACACUACUCUGCCUGGGUCUCAGCCCACAGAGCCAGAGAAGAUGGUCUGAUGAGGGUGGGCAUAGCUUGAUGAUGAUGAUGAUUACUUGAGGAUCACUUUUCAACCCCAGAGUCUGGGACAGGACAUGCAGAGCUCACCAACGUCCCCCUUCUGGGGCUGGGGUCAGUGUGAGGCCUGCCUAGUGCCAGGGAGACUCUGGGUUGAGCCUUCUCACUAGGCCUCCUUUCCCCCCUGCCAGUGCGUGGGGUGCUUUCCCCUCUCAGGACCGGGCCUCCUGCAGAGCCUGGGCUACCUCCCCUCCCUCUGUUCUCUGAUGUUCAAGCCCAGCUCAGGGCCCUGGAGCUCAUUCCUGAGGAGUCUGGGUGGACGGCUUCCACACUCAGACUCUCCCAUGGGCUCUGGAGCCCUGGGUCGUCCUUGUGGAGGGUGCUGUUCCAGGCCAGUGUCCUCCUCAGUGAAGGUGGGGUCUCUGGUGUGUGAAAGUCACCAGUGUCCUCACCAUCUAUGGGACUUGCUCCACACUAGGCUGAGGACAGAGAGGCGUUGGCCUUGGGGCCAAGUGUAAGGAGCUCCAUAAUGUGGGUAUUUUCAUUAAUUUUAUUUUAAUGCAAUAUUUUUAAAAUGUUAAAAUUCAUGCAAAAAUACUUCAAUAUGAAAAAAGUAAGAAAUUAAAAAAAAUAAUAUUGAAUCUAUCUUGUGAAUGAAGACUUAUAUCUAAGGUACUGGUUUGUAAUGUGGCAAUCUGUAUCUGGAAAUUACUUUGGUCUGUGAAUUGUGUUGUUUGUGUCACCAGGUGGAGUUGACCAGGGUUGCAGUGUAUAGUGAAGGAACAUGGGAUGGGAUCCCACCAGAGUAGUUAAAAACCAUCUCAUCAGAAGACAGAAAGCUGUUCAGUGCACAGAGAAACCUGUGGCAUUUUGUGACCUUGGCUGUCAGGAGAGUGUUCCCAUGAGGACAGAGCCCUAGGAAUCCAGUUGCAUGGACCAAGAACACAUCCUGCACACACAUGUUCUGUGUGAGCCUGUUUCCUACAUACAGGAUGAAGACAAAUGUCAGGCAGGGGUCUGGCUCCUCAUAGCUCAUUACCCUGAGAUACAAAAGCAGUUCCUCAGCUUGGCUCUGAUCAUAGGAGGGCCCCCUAAAGAGGAAGCCUGCUGAGUGCUUCCUGGAAGCACUCAGCAGAGGGAAGCACUGAGUCCCCUGUUUCCAGGUCACCUUCAGAUCCUCCAGGGGAGCAGGGAGCUCAGAAGAGGUGUCUGCACCAUGCUUGUAUCAUGCUCAGGAGCUGGAGAGAGCAGGGGACACUGGGUAAUUACUCCAGAUAGAGAAGUGGACCCUGGAAGCUGUUUCAGACUCUACUCUUGCUGCUAAAAUGCCCAAAGAUAUUUUCUUUUUUGAUCUUCUCAAAUUCAGGUGAGUCAAGUUUGAGCAUGCCAGAUGGUGUCAGCAUGGGCAUCAUGGAACCAUGUAACCUGAGAAUCAUUGCUCUGGAGUGUCCUCUUACCUGAAUGUCUCAGGCAAAUAUGUGCUGCCCUAGACUAUGCUGGGACACCUUGGGACACUUGGACAGGCCUGAGAGGAGCCUCCCUGCAGCUGUGCCCAGCCUGCCCAGCCCUGCUGAUUCACAUGUGCCCACAGCACAGCCCACUGCCCUGAGGACUUCUUAAAGGCUGUUCACACCCUGUGCAGGAGUCAGGCCCAUCAGGACACAGCAUAGCCAUGAGGGCCCCUGCUCAACUCCUGGGGCUCCUGCUGCUCUGCAUCCCAGGUGCCAAAUGUGACAUCACGAUGACCCAGUCUCCAACUUCCUUGUCUAAAUCUCAAGGAGAAACACUCACCAUCAGUUGCCGACCAGUCAGGGCAUUAGCAAUUACUUAAGCUGGUACCAGCAGAAACAAGGGCAAGCUCCUAAGCUCCUGAUCUAUUAUACCAACCGUUUGCAAUCUGGGGUCCCCUCGAGGUUCAGUGGCAGUGGAUCUGGGACAGAUUAUUCUCUCACCAUCAGCAGCCUGGAGCCUGAAGAUUUUGCCACUUAUUUCUGUCAACAAGAUUACAGUUCCCCUCCCACAGUGACACAGGCCAUGACAAAAACCUCCCAGGGAGCAGAAGUGUGAGGCUGGGCUGCCCCAGCUGCUCCUCCUGCUGCCUCCACCUGCUGAGGGCACUGUUCAGAGGCAGCCAGACUCUGAGGCCACUGGGGGGUUUUUCUAGGCCUGGACAAGCUCCUCUGCACCCUGUUUCUUUCUCCUUUUCAGCCCCAGCACUCAACCAUAGAUCAGGCCCACUGAGUGGGUGUCUCUGAAGGUGUGUGCCCUGCUCUGUGCAGUAGUGCUCCACCAACCAGUGAGUGACAGGAAGCUAAAAGAAGGCCAAUCAGGAGAAGAACCAUGAUGAGUUCUUACCCUGUGAGUGCAGGACCCUGGUGCUGGGUGAGCUCAGCCAAGAUGCCCAGUGGAACAGAAUUGGUGUUCAGAGAUAGAUAAAUGCAUAGAUGGUCAGUUUUUAUGACAGAGAUGACAUUACAAAAACUAUGAACAAAACUUCUUCAUACGAAAAUUUCUCUCUCAGCCUCAUGUGCAAACAGUCACCUGGUGUAUAAAACAGGCUCAACAUCAAUAAUCAUCAGAGAGUGAAAUUUCCAACAAACCAGCAGAAACUUUAGAAGAGAGGUCACAAAACUGAACCAUGAAAAACAUGGAGUGCAGUCUGAGGAAUGAUCUAGAACAUUCUCAUGUGUUUGGAAAUGUGAAAUGGUCCCUGUGUUGGAGACCUGCCCUGACCGUGCAUGUACCUGUGAUCCAGGCUUUCCACUCAGAGCACAUGCAGAUGUGCACAGAUUCCCAUGUGCAGGGACCUCACAGCAUUAUCUGUGAUAACUGCAACCUGAAUCAUCUAAAUGCCAAUCAAGGGAAGAAUGGAUGAAUAGAAAAAGGGAAGUGCAUGCAAUGAAAUACUGUACACCAGUGAAAAUGGCCACUGACUUCAAGAGCCCUGCAAGUGACACAGGCCACAGAUACACCACAGCUCAUUACCCAUGAUACUAUUUUUAUGAGGAUCAAAAACUGGCAAAAUUUGAUAAUUGCUUAAAGAUCGCUUACAAAUUGCAUGGGGAAAUGGGGGGUCAAUGACUGGUUAUUCUGCCUUGAGAGUCUUUUUCUUAGUAUUUUACAGACAUUAUUCUCUUUCCUCCUGUCUGCAUAUUUCUUCUGAUAGCCACAUGGAAGUUCCCUUGUAUGUUGUGAGUUGGAUUUCUCUUGUGGCUUUCAAAACUAUCUCUGUAAAUUUUCAUAAUUUGUUUAUAUUAUAUUUUAGUGUGACCAUCUUUAGGUUACUCCUAUUUAGGACCUUCAAGCAUAGUUAACCUGAAUGUCCAUAAUCCUCCUAUCAUCUGGGAAAUUUCCAAGAAUUAUUACUUUUAACAAUCCUUUUUCUUAUUAAAUGUCUCCUGUUUUUAUGGAAUGCCUAUAAAGAAUUUGUUGGUUUUUUUGACUCUGUCCCAUACAUCCACUGUGUUUUAUUCAUUUCAAAUACGGAAAGAAAAAGGUCACUUCAAUAGAGUGUUAGAGAUUGUGAGAAAAAUACAAGCAGAAAUCCUGAAAAUGAAGGAAUCAAUAAACAAAAUGUUAGAUUCAAAAGAAGGCACCACCAACAUA